rnacentral:lncRNA from 1 species
GUUAAAACUACAAAACAAACUUAUACCAAGAAGCUUUUCUGGUAGUUCUGCAAUUUUGUUAGAUAUGGAUUGGACAUUGAAGCAGUUUUUACCCCUUUUUUUAUUCAUCUGAUAGUUUCUACUGCCAAUAAUGUUCAGGAUAAUAAUAAUAACAAUAUAUUCUUUAUUUAAAGAGGGUACACUCAGUUAGUUACAAUAAACUAAUCAUUCCUGAGUCCCUGUAUCUAACUGCAAAAUUAACCAAAAUUAACUAGC